GAUUAACGCUGGCGGCAUGCCUAAUACAUGCAAGUCGAACGGAAGCAGCAAUGCUUUAGUGGCGAACGGGUGAGUAACACGUAGGGAACCUACCUAUACGACGAGGAUAACUACUGGAAACGGUAGCUAAAACUGGAUAGGAUCAAUUGAGGCAUCUUGAUUGAUUUAAAGAUCCUUCGGGAUUACGUAGAGAUGGCCCUGCGGCGCAUUAGCUAGUUGGUGAGGUAACGGCCCACCAAGGCGACGAUGCGUAGCUGAGCUGAGAGGCUAAACAGCCACACUGGAACUGAGACACGGUCCAGACUCCUACGGGAGGCAGCAGUGGGGAAUAUUGGACAAUGGGCGAAAGACCUGAUCCAGCCAUGCCGCGUGUGUGAAGAAG
rnacentral:rRNA from 1 species